UGUCAAUAGAGAGUUUGAGCAAGACAACGAAGACGAAGGCGUACUUGCCAAUUUUUGCCAUCUGCACAUUAUCUUGCGCAUACUGAGUUGGACGUCACUGGUGGUUGCUCAACGUGUCUUCCCAUGUGUCGCUGUUUAUGCAUACUGACCAUAAUUCUUGCCCUGACCCAGAAAAAAAUAGCGAGACAUGAAACUAUAUCCCGUCUUUGUCCUUCUGCCUUCGUUC